UUAAAAUCGUAGGUAUAAAAUCCGCAUAUUGGAGUUAAUCCGGUACAAAUAAAUCGAAACGAUUGCGAGAGACGCAUUAAAUUUUACAACUUUCUUGACUUUUCCACUUUGAGGUAAAUCUCGGAAAUAUCAUCUGAAUCCAAAUGAGCUUCAUCACUUUGCUACUUCUUCUUGGUACGCCCACCACCUUUGCGUCAGUGCUAGACGCUCAGCACGCACUUCGUAAUGCAGAACCGGUGACGUUCUCCUUCUAUGGAUCUAUUUUCCUGACAGGCCUGUCAUCCACGGGUGUAAUACGUACUGAAUACAGUCAUGAGCGAAACGUUAACGAGACACGGUUCGCCUGGGUGUUUAAUUCUUCAGACGAGACGUUAACAAAAUAUGAGAAGAAGACUACUCCAGGAAAAUCAGUCUGCAUGACGGCGACGGGAAGGGGAUCCAACGUUGUCCUGAAACCCUGCAAUGCUACAGACCCACGUCAAAAAUGGCUUAUGCUACAGACAUCAACGGUAGCGAUGAACUGUAGAUUUUGCAACGAGGAGAUCUUCUCAUGUUUAGAGAGGCAUGAAGACAACUCAGUUACACUGGAAGAGUAUGAAGGGGGCGGUCAACAAUGGCUAGCCCGUACUUAUGGUGUGUAUAGUGAAUACUGAAGUGAUGCUACUUUGUAAAUAUAUUGAGAAUUGACAAGUUUGGAAAAGUGUUAGCCGUGUGAUAGUUGAAUUAUAUAUGUAAACACUUUAUAUUUACAUCCCACUUCGAAAUGCGAAUAGAUUAGAGAUUUGAAUUUAGCCUACAUACGAUUCGUUUAGUCAUGUGCUUGUAGUAUUAAAAUUGCUGGGUAAAGUGAAAUAAAACGCACGAUUCAUACACAUCUACAUGAGA